UCAGCAGCCGCCUUUAAGGAUACCCACGGCCAGCACCUUGCCCUCUAGCGCCUCCGGGCUGACCGGGCGGCCAGAGCACUCCAGCAACUUCCACAGCCCCUGCACUCCCAUGGCGCAGGCGCUCUUAGCCGGAUUCGCAGGGCCUUUGUUUCACUUUAGGAUAAAGGACGCUCCGGGAUCAAGCACACAGGGCCCCUCUACUCGUAGAGGGAACAGCUCUCCAGCUAGGAUCCCGGGUCUCAGAGGCUUGAAAGAGAAACACCGCGCCGAUUCACUUCCGGAGCGGACCUGGUCUCCCGGAAGAACGGCGGAAUUUAAAUAUGGCGGCGGUGGGAGGAGCUGAAACG
rnacentral:lncRNA from 1 species